CACGAACCGUACAAACGUUAUUCGGAAUUAUUGGGCUUAAAGGGUGCGUAGGCGGCGUGGUAAGUCGGGUGUGAAAGCCCACAGCUCAACUGUGGAAUUGCGCCCGAUACUGCCAUGCUUGAGGGAGACAGAGGCGAGCGGAACUGAUGGUGGAGCGGUGAAAUGCGUUGAUAUCAUCAGGAACACCGGUGGCGAAAGCGGCUCGCUGGGUCUCUUCUGACGCUGAGGCACGAAAGCUAGGGUAGCGAACGGG
rnacentral:misc_RNA from 1 species